ensembl:ncRNA F13E6.9 ncRNA
GUAUCCGCUGAAGAUAGACUGGAGAACAUGCGACGUCUAUCCGUUUUCAUCUCACCUUCGUUUCGUUUUUCUUAUCGUAAUUCCUUGUCGUCAUUUUCGCAUCUUUUUUUUUGCCACAAUUUCCAU